GUUGGCAACGCUGGGACCACAACUUGCGGCGUAGCGCGGUCGUUGUGAUUUUGUGCGAUCGUGUGAUACCUGUUGCAGCGCGAUGAAUCCAAUGAAUCGACCUGCUUCCGAAAUAAUCAAAAGCAAAGACUCCGAUGAACCUAAGAAGCAGUCCCGAGAAGACUGGAGGAAAGCUAAAGAGCUAGAAGAGGCAAGAAAGGCAGGCACAGCACCAGCUGCCGUUGAUGAGGAAGGAAAGGAUAUCAACCCUCACAUUCCUCAGUACAUAGCUUCAGCUCCAUGGUACUUUGGAGCAAAGGGGCCGACGUUGAAGCACCAACGGCAGCAGCUUGAAAAGCAGCAGUGUUGUUCUGCAAUAAGCGAUUACUACGCAAGAGGGGAAUUUGUGGGGAAGGCUACCAGGUAUCGCAAAGGGGCGUGCGAAAACUGUGGAUCUAUGACUCACAAGAAGAAGGACUGUUUUGAAAGGCCACGCAAAGCAAGUGCAAAGUACACGGGCAGUGAGAUAGCACCAGAUGAAAAGAAGCUGCCGGAUCUCAAGCUGGACUAUGACGGGAAACGUGAUCGCUGGAAAGGGUUCGAUCCGGCUUGUUACCAAGAGGUGAUCGAAGAGUACCAUAAAGUAGAAGAGGCCAAGCAUAAACUCAGAGAGGACCGUUUGAGGCAUGACGCAAGUGGUGUGGACACAGCGCACGAGGGCGACAGCGACGACGACGACAAGUAUGCUGACAAUGCCAACAUGCCCGGUACCAAAGUCGACAGCAAGCAGCGCAUCACCGUGCGAAACCUUCGAAUUCGAGAGGACGUUGCCAAGUACCUGAGGAACCUGGACCCCGACUCUGCACACUACGACCCCAAGACUCGCUCCAUGAGGGACAACCCUUACAAGAACUCAAACAAGACUCCAGAAGACUUACAGUUCGCAGGAGACAACCUUGUGCGACACACGGGAAACGCCAAGAAGGCGGUCGAAGCACAGUUGUUUGCAUGGCAAGCGUUCGACAAAGGGGUGGACGUCCACCUCCAGGCCGACCCCACCAAGGCUGAGCUUCUCGGCAAGGAAUUCCUCUCCAAGAAGGAGGACCUCCGGCAUUCCAUGAAAGACAGCAUCGUGGAGAAGUACGGUGGAGCAGAGCACCUCAGAAGGAACUGAUCCCUGCGCAAGACUUAAUUCACACUGGAAGGAAGAAGUGGAGACUGCGAAGCGCAUCGGCAGGUUGAGGACCACUCCUGAUGGAACGAAAAAGUGGUACCAGAGAGCAGUGCUUACGUUCCGAAGGGCACUGGUGCAAGGCAGCUGCCAUCAUGUGGCAAUGCGGAAACUGGGCUUGCACAGAUCUCUUUGGAGAAAUCCGUGCCCUCAGCACCGAAGACAUCGAGAUUAAGUAGCCAAGAUGCAUGACAGAGGUCUCAAAAGAGAACUCAUAUGAAUGUUUUCCUGACGAGGUAUUACACUUUAGAACAUGAGAGAACUGAUGUUCUGAGGCUGGAACAACAUAGAAGGGACAAUAACAUACAAGGCCUCAAGUUGCCUAAGAAAUUAACGAUGAAAGAUGAAAGUCACUGAAAAGCUUAGCCAGCUGUAGGACUCGAACCCACAUCUUCUGGAUUACCGGUUCAGGGCUCUACCAUUUGAGCUAAGCUAACACGCCUUCUCAGCGACUUCCGGGGUGCGUCAUCUGAAGGGACAAACCAGUCACUCUCUCUCACUCAUCCUCCUUUCACUCUUACAUUUUUGCUCACUCAUACAAACAUUCAUACGACGGGAUCGAUGCAGGCAGCAACUGUUGAACAUGAAAGAAUUGAUGUUCUGACUUUCUCAACUUUCAUCGUUAAUUUCUUAGGCAAAUUGAGGCUUUGUAUGUAUUUGUCCCUUCUAUGUUGUUCCAGCCUCAGAACAUCAAUUCUUUCAUAUUCUUUCAUAUCGAAUUCUAUCGAAUUCUAUUCUAGCAAAGUGUCAGGUGAAGCCCAUUUUCGGAAGUUGUCGUUCGUAUUCGGCGAAUGGUCGAAUAUCUGGAAACCCGAAUAUUGGGUAUUCGAUCCGCGGAUCGAAUACUUCGAGUGAUUGAUAUUCAAUUCGAAUUCGAGAACUCUAAUAUCUGCACACCCCUAAAAAUAAGGGAUUCCGUGAAAUUCUGUACCAAACGAAAGAUGUUGCGAUUAAUUCCGAAUUCCACUAAAUUUCGCGGAAUCGGGGAAAGCCGAGGGCCUUAGUUAUGUCCCUGUCAGACAUGCUUAAAAGAGCAGUUUUCUUGGUUAUAUGGUCAGAGUGAGCUGCUCAUGAGCAGCUUACUCAUGACAAGCCGGUGAACUAGCGUUUGUCGGAAAUGCUAGCUGAAAUUUUUGGCCGAAGGGUACUGUACUCUGAGAGAGCCAGAUUAUGGUAAUGUUCAAAAUAGUUCGACAACGUGUGCUAUGCAGUGGGAGCAAAGUGCUGUGAAGCAUACAGCUUAUAUAGUCCAUAUUCCCUCAUCCAUCAGCCAGUGCAAAUUUUGCAACAGACGUCAGCAUAAGACCAGUACCCAGCUACACAUGUGAUAAAAGUGUAUGGAUUGUUCACAUGAAAUUCAGAAAAAUUAAAAAUCUGUUGUAAAUGUUGUAAAAAAUCACGGAUAAAACAAUGGACCCUG